UUGCGCAGUAUAGGUGGGAGGCAAAGAAGAUAUGUUCGCGGAUGUAUAUGAGCCAUUAGUGAGAUACCACUCUGAUUAAACUAGAAUUCUAAUAUUGACUGCCAUAAGCUGGCCAAUAGACAGUUUCAGGUGGGCAGUUUGACUGGGGCGGUCGCCUCCUAAAAGGUAACGGAGGCGUGCAAAGGUUUCCUCAGGCUGGUCGGAAAUCAGUCGUAGAGUAUAAAGGCAUAAGGAAGCUUGACUGCGAGACCUACAAGUCGAGCAGAGACGAAAGUCGGCCUUAGUGAUCCGACAGUAC
rnacentral:rRNA from 1 species